rnacentral:lncRNA from 1 species
UGCAAGCAGGAAAUCUUGUCUUGGCACAGUCGUGGUAUGUAGUGCUCAGAGCAGGAGUAACAGGACACACACAUUUGUCUUCUGCUUGCUACUCAUACAACUGUCGUUCCCAACUGUCGCGGAUCCUUCUGGUUGCAGAAUUCCAGCGCUCACAUAGUAACAAGGGAGUCAAAACAGUCCCUCCCUCCUGAGCUCUAAUCGCACAACAGUUUCAUAAUCAUGUUCUCUCAGAAAGUUCCAUGGUCCACCCCUCUGGAACAAAAUAAAAUGAUUUCCAGAAAGUGAAGAAGACAUUCAGUUGACCCACUCUAGCGUUGGAAGAUCUGCCAUUUAAAGAAUGAAGUGGAAGUAUAUAAAACAUGUAUAGGCUAGCUCAAACUUUAUCCAUGUCCCCUACUCCACCUCAGCUGUACCAGAAGGCUUGUGGAUGAAUGAUAAAGAAUGAUUUGUUAUGGCAUGAAAAUCAUCAUUUCAAGAACUUCUUGGCAGGAGCUAAGUGUUCCCAGGUGCCCUGUAUGCUGGUUGGACAAACUCACAUGGUUUUGGCCACUGAGAGUCUCACUCAGAGCAACUGAGAGAAGCUGUCAGGAGCCCAGAAACUACCCACUGCGGAUACAGAUGAGCUCAGGUACAUGCAGGAUCUGGAGCAUCUGCUAUACUAACCGGAUUAAGCUUCCUUGAAAAAAAU